rnacentral:rRNA from 1 species
AUUGAACGCUGGCGGAAUGCUUUACACAUGCAAGUCGAGCGGCAGCGCGGGGCAACCUGGCGGCGAGCGGCGAACGGGUGAGUAAUACAUCGGAACGUACCCUGUCGUGGGGGAUAACGAGUCGAAAGAUUCGCUAAUACCGCAUACGACCUGAGGGUGAAAGGGGGGGAUCGCAAGACCUCUCGCGAUAGGAGCGGCCGAUGUCGGAUUAGCUAGUUGGUGAGGUAAAGGCUCACCAAGGCGACGAUCCGUAGCGGGUCUGAGAGGACGGCGCGCCACACUGGAACUGAGACACGGUCCAGACUCCUACGGGAGGCAGCAGUGGGGAAUUUUGGACAAUGGGGGCAACCCUGAGCCAGCCAUUCCGCGUGAGUGAAGAAGGCCUUCGGGUUGUAAAGCUCUUUCGGCAGGAACGAAACACCGGCUCUAACACAGUCCGGGAAUGACGGUACCUGAAGAAUAAGCACCGGCUAACUACGUGCCAGCCGCCGCAGUAA